UGAUUGUUUGCAUCUCUUGCUUAUUACUUAUGUCCUAAUUGCGUUUUAUAUUAUUUUAGAGUUUUUCAGAUCCACACAGGAUACUUGCCCUGGCUAAUCUUCCACUAUUCAUUGUAAAAACAUUUGUAGAAACUAAAAUACCAUCAAGUACAAGAAGCAUUGUGGUAUGUGCUGCAAAAGUUCCAUGACCAAGAUAUCCUCGCGUUUGGAAGACCAAUAAAAAAAAUUGGAACCAUUUCCAAGGCUGCUAAGCUUGUACAGUCUAUUAAGGAACUUUCAAAUGUCAAAGAGGAAGUUUAUGGAGCUCUUGUUACCUAUGUCGCUUGGGAGCUAGAGUUUCCAUUAAUUACAGUGAAAAAGGCUGUCAAGACUCUAGAAUACGAGAAAGAAUGGAAGCGAAUAAUACAGGUAACAAAAUGGAUGCUAAGCAAGGGUCAAGGAAAGACAAUGGGAAGCUAUUACACAUUAAUUAAUGCUUUAGCAGAGGAUGACCGACUUGAUGAAGUGGAAGAGCUUUGGACAAAGCUAUUAAUGCAGUACACGGAAAGCUUGCCUCGUAAAUUCUUUGAUAAAAUGAUAUCUAUCUACUGUAAAAGGGGCAUGCAUGACAAGAUGUUUGAGGUAUCUACUGUAAAAGUGGGUGCUUUAGCUUGAAAGUUUGCUCAUUGCAUAAUAUACUGGAGUUUGAGGGCUCUGAUUAGGAAAUAGUUUAGCAGGUUUGUGUUAUAUUGUUGGUCAUAUAUUUGCAUUGUAUUGUAUUCAAAUGCUUAAACCAUGAUAAUUAAUUACUCCUAGAUACAACAAGCAAUUCUCCUUUUUGUAAUUUUAUGAAUCUAGACUUGUGCACCAGUAUAUGAAGUAGCAGGACUCAAUAGUCGUUUCUAUGCUAUUCUCUACCAUCA